GAAAAAUGCUAAAAUAUAAUGAGAGUGCCUCAUAUUGGGCUUGUUUAAUUAAUAAGUAAUGAGAAGCAAUGGUAUAGAAGAAGAAGAAGAUAGAAAGCAAAGUUAAUGGGACCUUGAAGUACAUGCAGGUUUCCUUAGACUUGUAAGCUGUGCAUUGAUCCGGUCCCUGCGCCGCUUCUCGGCCUGACUGUGGCUCUUGGAAGCACUAGCAUAUGGGAAGAACUAAGGUAAUAACCUGCAUGGGUGAUUCUAAUUGAACUUAUGGCUCUCUUAUUACAGCUUGAUAUUGUUGUACUUCAGUUUCAAAAUUAAAAGCUUAUGCAGAAAUUAGAAACGCAGAAGUAGAGCAUACAGCUCUUGAGAAUAAAUUUUCUCAAAUGAAGGAGAGGCAACAGUCAUAUGACUCUGCUUUAACAGUGGUUAAGAAAAACUGGGAACAGGUAAUUUAUUUUGUGUUUCAUUUUUUACUCCUUAAGUUCAAAUAUUCCAUGCUUUAAUUUGUCUAAUGAUUUAUAUCACAAUCACUUGCUGGGCAAUAUCCGCUUUCCGCAAUCUAUUGAAGUUCUGUCUUUGAUCCUUCUUAGUUAUUGCAUUAAUUGGACACCAAGCAAUGUCAUAUGAAUUGAUAUGAUAUGGUUGAAAAAUUAUGAAAUCUAGGUAGCUGAGAUAACCAGCAUAAUGAUUUUGCAGUCUUUACAUUAUUCAAGAUGAUAUUGUUACAUUAUUGUAGACAUUGCAUUACAUUAUUAUUUAAGAUACUGCUUAUAAAUAUAAAUAACAUACAUGUUAUUGUUAAAAUAAAAAUGCUUAUAGAGUGUAAGUGUUGUGCGUCACAAAUGAUAUUUAGCCAGUGCUAACUCAUAGUUAUUUGCAACGGAUUGGAAAAAAUGGGUUGUUAAAAGGGAAUUGCUAGUGGAUGAAAGAUAACCAUUGAUAAUGCUUAUGAAUUCUUAGUGCAGGGCUCCCUGUGUUCAGGGCUGUUUUCACUGUUUCAUUGCUUCUUACUCUAACCUAUACAUUCUUAUUCCCUUUAUUGAUUUGAUAAUUGUUUGCAGUGUAGUUACUUAUUUAAUUGGUGCUUUUAUUGAGAGUAGAUUGGAUCCAUGGUAGAUGAGUGGAUUGCAUACACGCAAAGCCAACUCACAAGCAUGGAUUCAUCUUUGCGUUCUAUUGAGAAAAUGUUGCGUGAGACUCAUAAGUUGAAAUAGAAGAACACUGAUUACAUUUUCGUAUUGGAAUAUGAGUUUUGAAGGUCAUGGUUCAUCAAUUAUAAUCCCUUGUCCAUACCAUGUAGAUGUAUAUAUAUAAAUGAGUAUCAUAAGCUAUUGUCUUCUACUAUUUGUACUAGAGAAUCUUUCAUGGCCUCAGAGGACUCUUGCAUGAAUUAUAUGUAUUGUUUACUUGUCAAUUGAUUGGUGUAUUAGUCUACUAUUAUUCUAAGUUUGCUAAUUCUGAAUGGUGUGCUAGUCUUAUUCCUUAUUUUAGUCAAAUAUCUUAAGUUUCAUUAAAAAUUUCAUGCUUUGAGUGAAUUUUUUUCUUAAAAGAGUUGUAUAUUUUGUUUUUGUUUGUACUAGGAUAAGCAACCAUAAAUUAAAGUAUUUGUUUAAUCUCUUUAUUUGAAGAUAUUGAAUUCAAAGCUUAUGCCUCUGUUCUAAUAAAUUGCUUAGUACAUGGCUUUAAGUCAUCAUCAAUUUUACUUAAUAUAUAAUUUAUCUAUGAUCAUUAUUGUAUAAUUUAUCUUUGUAAAUAUAUAAUUUUAAUAAAAAAGUGGUGAGAUAAGUGUCUUAUUGUCCAGAAACUUCGUAGAAGCACACUCAAUUCUGCAGGGUUCAACAAGCAAAGAUAUCACAAAUUUUCUUGUACAAGAACCAAUAACGGUAGCAACAAUAACCCAUGUUACACCUGCCAA